GUUUACGGCCAUACCAUCUUGAAUACGCUCCAUCUCAUCUGACCUUGGAAGCUAAGCAGUGUCAGGCCUGGUUAGUACUUGUUUGGGAGACUGCUUGGUAAUACCAGGUGCUUUUUGCC
rnacentral:rRNA from 1 species